rnacentral:rRNA from 1 species
UGGGGAAUAUUGCACAAUGGAGGGAACUCUGAUGCAGCGACGCCGCGUGAACGAAGAAGGCUUUCGAGUCGUAAAGUUCUUUUAUAUGGGAAGAUAAUGACGGUACCAUAAGAAAAAGCCCCGGCUAACUACGUGCCAGCAGCCGCGGCAAUACGUAGGGGGCUAGCGUUGUCCGGAAUCACUGGGCGUAAAGGGUUCGCAGGCGGAAAUGCAAGUCAGGUGUAAAAGGCAGUAGCUUAACUACUGUAAGCAUUUGAAACUGCAUAUCUUGAGAAGAGUAGAGGUAAGUGGAAUUUUUAGUGUAGCGGUGAAAUGCGUAGAUAUUAAAAAGAAUACCGGUGGCGAAGGCGGCUUACUGGGCUCAUUCUGACGCUGAGGAACGAAAGCGUGGGUAGCAAACAGG